rnacentral:sRNA from 1 species
UGACAGCAGCCUCAGCCAUGGGCUCUUCAGUUGUAACCAUUACAACGCUGUCCUCAUCAGGCUUAUUCUCUUGGGCAAGACAGCUAAAAUGUGGUACCAAGUCUUUUGGAGCCAUCAGGAGCCGAGUCCAGGCUGCACGGGACUCUUAACCUGGCACUUGGCCACCAAGGAAAGGUUGGCGCUUGCCACAAGAAUGGGACUGGAAAGUGUUGCGUGUCCCUUUUCUUCCAAGAGACACAACCAUUUUAGGGAAGUAGAAACCAAUCCACCUGGUAGAAAACCAGCAAUUUUAAUUACUAUAUUCAGGUGUCGCCAUCUGGUUGACGUCAACACCGUUAGGGGACACAAGUCGCCACAGUCUAUAGACAUGCAGUGCAACAGCAUGUACAACAACCUCUUGUACUCCAGGUGUACCAGGCGCCCUUCAAGCCACUGGCAGCCAGCGACACAGACAAUGUACUCUGUCGCUGAAAAUGUAUUAACAUCCAAACAUCAAAUUGGUAGGGGUAAUAGUGCUGCUCACUCUUCAAAUAACGAUCCAGGCGACUCCAUCUGCAGCUUAUGUGCAGGUGUGGGUUGUGCCAUCCCAAGUGGCAGCUCGGUGGACAAGGACAAGGAGGGCUGGGUUGAUGCAGAGCUUUUUAUGCCACAGGUGGCUGACCCCCAUGUCCUUAGAAACUGUGACCGGGUUAAGCGCAUCUGUGCCCUAAAGCAACCCGGUGAACUCGCUCAAACGCUGUCCCCUCAUCUGGCCAUCUCACCCUAGCUAGCUCUUCACCCCAUACCCACUGGCACUGGUGGCACACUACCACAAGAAACACCACCUUGUCCAAAACUAGUGCACUUUUUGUGCACCAUAAACUGCAGUUUUGUUUACU